AGAGUUUGAUCAUGGCUCAGAAUGAACGCUGGCGGCAGGCCUAACACAUGCAAGUCGAACGGAUCCUUCGGGAUUAGUGGCGGACGGGUGAGUAACGCGUGGGAACAUACCCAAAGGUACGGAAUAGCCUCGGGAAACUGGGAGUAAUACCGUAUGUGGUCGAGAGACGAAAGAUUUAUCGCCUUUGGAUUGGCCCGCGUUGGAUUAGGUAGUUGGUGGGGUAAUGGCCUACCAAGCCGACGAUCCAUAGCUGGUUUGAGGGAUGAUCAGCCACACUGGGACUGAGACACGGCCCAGACUCCUACGGGAGGCAGCAGUGGGAAUCUUAGACAAUGGGGAAACCCUGAUCUAGCCAUGCCGCGUGAUCGAUGAAGGCCUUAGGGUUGUAAAGAUCUUUCAGAUGGGAAGAUAAUGACGGUACCAUCAGAAGAAGCCCCGGCUAACUCCGUG
rnacentral:rRNA from 1 species